rnacentral:rRNA from 1 species
UACGGAGGGUGCAAGCGUUAUCCAGAUUCACUGGGUUUAAAGGGUGCGUAGGUGGGUCUGUAAGUCCGUGGUGAAAUCUCUAGGCUUAACCUGGAAACUGCCAUGGAUACUAUAGGUCUUGAAUACUGUGGAGGUCAGCGGAAUAUGUCAUGUAGCGGUGAAAUGCUUAGAUAUGACAUAGAACACCAAUUGCGAAGGCAGCUGGCUACACAAAUAUUGACACUGAGGCACGAAAGCGUGGGGAUCAAACAGG